rnacentral:lncRNA from 1 species
UGCAAUAUAGGCCGCACGUAAUCUUUCUUCCCAACGAGCCCUUUUUUCUAUUUGGAAGACGGGCAUUCCGUUCGAAAUACAUGGUUUUCAGUAUGUCUCCAGAUAGGGCCUCCACUAAUCUGACCAACUAGUGAGCGGUUCUUUCGGACAAGAAGCAGGCCGAACCCUACGGGUGGACAUCUCCCCCAACGCAAGCACCAUUGUUCACCCUCCCAGACCCCACUAUAUAUAUAUAUAUAUAUACAUGCAUAAUUCUGAGUGUAGUUAAUUGGACAAUGAUAUAUGCAUCUGUCUCUCUGUUUAAUUGUGUCAGCUUGAAUACUGCAUGCAUUUGUGUCUGUGCUUUUCACUUUCACCAUUUCCCAUGGGAUCCAGAAGUCCCUUAAUUUAUGCUGGUAAUUAAUUAAUAUAAACUUUACA